AGCAGGUACGGAGCGUGAACAUUUAAUAUUGCACAGACAAGGAACAGGACAAGAACAGCGUUAGAACCGGGUAACACAACGACAAACAACAAUUAUGUUGAAGCGGGUAACAACCUCGGGAACAGACAGAUAUAGGGGAGGAAAUGAAAGCAUGUGAUUGAGUCCAGGAAGAAGAGUCCACACAACACCACCUGUGUACUGGGUCUGCUGGUCAGUCAACUGAGAUUACGAUACACAGAUGGAGAGCGGAGCAUGGCAGAUUAUGAAGGGGAGUAGUCCAAUAAAGACAUGGACUGACUAUAACAGUUCUACAUCUUACAAUUUUCACAAGGAUUUUGAUGCAUAUAGUCAUGGCUAAUAAACUACACUGACUCCUCAAAUGCAGCUGCAAAUUGGUAUUGGACUGAAAGACAGAGGCAUAAGUCGUCAGAAACCUCAGACAGCAAAGAAACGAAGGCAGCUUCACCAGAGACAGUCCCUGCCGCUGAAAAACCGCUCCACAGCAUGAUGCCAUCACCAUGCUUCACCGUAGGGAUGGUGCCAGGUUUCCCCCAGACGUGACGCUUGGCAUUCAGGCCAAGGAGUUCAAUCUUGGUUUCAUCAGACCAGAGAAUCUUGUUUCUCAUGGUCAGAGAAUCUUUUAGGUGCCUGUCAUGUGACUUUUACCGAGGAGUAGCUUCCAUCUGGCCACUCUGCCAUAAAAGGCCUGAUUGGUGGAGUGCUGCAGAGAUGGUUGUCCUUCAGGAAGCUUCCCCCAUCUCCACAGGGGAACUCUGGAUCUCUGUCAGAGUGACCAUUGGGUUCUUGGUUACCUCCCUAACCAAGGCCAUUCUCCCCCAAUUGCUCAGUUUGGCCAUGUGGCCGGCUCUAGGAAGAGUCUUGGUGGUUACAAACUUCUUCCAUUUAAGAAUGAUGGACGCCACUGUGUUCUUGGGGACCUUCAAUGCUGCAGACAUUAUGUGGUACCCUUUUCCAGAUCUGUGCCUCGACACAAUCCUGUCUCGGAGCUCUACAGACAAUUCCUUCGACCUCAUGGCUUGGUUUUUGCUCUGACAUGCAUUGUCAACUGUGGGACCUUAUAAAGACAGGUGUGUGCCUUUCAAAAUCAUGUCCAAUCAAUUGCAUUAACCACAGAUUCCAAUCAAGUUGCAGAAACAUCUCAAGGAUGAUCAAUGGAAAUUGGAUGCAGCUGAGCUCAAUUUCGGGUCUGAAUACUUAUGUAUUCUGUUUUUCUUUUUAUUAUAAAUGUGUCAACAUUUAUAAACUUGUUUUUAUUUUGUCAUUAUGGGAUAUUGUAUGUAUAUUGAUGAGGAUUUUUAUUUAUUGAAUCCAUUUUAGAAUAAGACUAACGUAACAAAAUGUAGAAAAAGGGAAGGUGUCCAAAUACUUUCAGAAUGCACUGUAGCUAGCUCUCUCACUCUCUCUCUUUUCAAGAUACAGAGGCAGGUAGUCUAGCAGUUAAGAAAGUUGGGCCAGUAACUGAAAAGGUCGCUGGUUUAAGCCUGCAAGGUGGAGAAUUCUUCUGUUCCACCCUUGAGCAAGGCAGUUAACCCCAAACAGAUACUGUUCCCUGGGCGCCGAUGACAUGGG
ensembl:lncRNA